rnacentral:rRNA from 1 species
GUCGCUGGCCCAUACCAGGGUCGUGCACGCUCGUCGUUCUUCAUUUCUCCAUCUAUUUGUGCACCUCUUGUGUGGAUCCAUGUCCUGGGGACGAUUGGGGACGCUUCGCAAAUACCUUCUUUGCAGGCUUUCCUUGUGUUGGAUCCUCAUUUUCUUCACAUACCACUAGAAAACAAUAGAGAAGGGUUGGAAAUAUAAAUAUACAACUUUCAGCAACGGAUCUCUUGGCUCUCGCAUCGAUGAAGAACGCAGCGAAAUGCGAUAAGUAAUGUGAAUUGCAGAAUUCAGUGAAUCAUCGAAUCUUUGAACGCAUCUUGCGCUCCUUGGUAUUCUGAGGAGCAUGCCUGUUUGAGUGUCAUUAAUAUCUCAACCGCAUGCGAAAGCGUGUGGCUUGGACUUGGGGGAUGAUGCAGGCUCCGACUCGGUCGGUUGGUCUGCUCCCCUGAAAUACAUGGGCAAAGUAAAAAGGCCUCUUUGUUGGGUGUGAUAACAUUAUCUGCAUCCGAGAGGUCAUCUAGGUUUGCCGAAUUGAACUCUAUUUGACUUGCCCUCAAAUCAGGUAGGACCACCCGCUGAACUUAAGCAUAUCAAUAAGCGGAGGAAAAGAAACUAACCAGGAUUCCCUUAGUAACUGCGAGUGAACCGGGAAGAGCUCAAAUUUGUAAUCUGGCGGUCUUUCGAUCGUCCGAGUUGUAAUCUAGAG